CCUACGGGGGGCAGCAGUAGGGAAUCUUCCACAAUGGGCGCAAGCCUGAUGGAGCAACACCGCGUGAGUGAAGAAGGGUUUCGGCUCGUAAAGCUCUGUUGUUGGAGAAGAACGUGCGUGAGAGUAACUGUUCACGCAGUGACGGUAUCCAACCAGAAAGUCACGGCUAACUACGUGCCAGCAGCCGCGGUAAUACGUAUGUGGCAAGCGUUAUCCGGAUUUAUUGGGCGUAAAGCGAGCGCAGGCGGUUGCUUAGGUCUGAUGUGAAAGCCUUCGGCUUAACCGAAGAAGUGCAUCGGAAACCGGGCAACUUGAGUGCAGAAGAGGACAGUGGAACUCCAUGUGUAGCGGUGGAAUGCGUAGAUAUAUGGAAGAACACCAGUGGCGAAGGCGGCUGUCUGGUCUGCAACUGACGCUGAGGCUCGAAAGCAUGGGUAGCGAACAGGAUUAGAUACCCCAGUAGUC
rnacentral:rRNA from 1 species